UGAGGAGUAUUGGUCAAUGGGCGGAAGCCUGAACCAGCCAAGUAGCGUGCAGGACGACGGCCCUACGGGUUGUAAACUGCUUUUGCGGGAGGAUAAAGUGCGCCACGCGUGGCGCUUUGCAGGUAUCCCGUGAAUAAGGACCGGCUAAUUCCGUGCCAGCAGCCGCGGUAAUACGGAAGGUCCGGGCGUUAUCCGGAUUUAUUGGGUUUAAAGGGAGCGCAGGCCGCCGGGCAAGCGUGUUGUGAAAUGCAGUCGCUCAACGUCUGCACUGCAGCGCGAACUGCCCAGCUUGAGUGCGCGCAACGUUGGCGGAAUUCGCCGUGUAGCGGUGAAAUGCUUAGAUAUGGCGAAGAACUCCGAUUGCGAAGGCAGCUGACGGGUGCGUAACUGACGCUCAUGCUCGAAAGUGCGGGUAUCGAACAGGAUUAGAUACCCUGGUAGU
rnacentral:rRNA from 1 species